ACUUCUUCCUUUCAUGCUGCACAUGUGAACUGAAAACUGUAGAAAAGAGAAUUUAGUAUGUUUUGGAGAGCUUAAUUUCCCAAGUGGCAAAUUUGAUCUGUACCAGUAAGUACAUGAUUAAUAUUUUAGAAUAUGUGUGGUUCCAGUAAGUACAUGAGUACUAUUUAGCAUGUUUGAUUGCUUCUGAAUAAUGAAAAUGUGCGUGUACUGAUGCAUUUCAAAAAUUGUGAUGUGUGUUCUUAGGAAAAAACAUUUUCACGUUAUUGGUGCCGCUGGAUAACUGUCAUAGUUUGUCGCCAGCAAAGUUCCUGAACUUGGCUUAUACCAGUAGUAGAACUUACUGGUUCUCCGUGACAUAAAAUUGAAAACAGACAAAAAAUUCUCAAGAAUUGAGGCUUCGCCAAGGAACAAGACUGGUAACUAGCGCAAAGGAGACUAUGUCGAGAGGUGGCACUGCUAGACUUGCUGAUGUGUAGUUAUGGCAUAAAAAAGAUGAAAAAAAUGGUAUCUUGUAUGAUUCCAUAGGGUGCACGUAGCAAAUCUUCCCAUGUGGAUCAGUACAACUUAUGUAUGGCCUUGAGUUCACAAAUCUUAUAGUAAUCUUUGUAGUACUCUUCGUAACACUUCGUAAAGCAAGAGUGGCCCUUUUUUGUGAGCAACAAUUCAAACGAAUCUGUUGUAUCAGUUCUUAUGAUAGAUAGAA